CUGCAGUCGACGAUGAACCCAGCUUGCUGGGUGGAUUAGUGGCGAACGGGUGAGUAACACGUGAGUAACCUGCCCUUAACUCUGGGAUAAGCCUGGGAAACUGGGUCUAAUACCGGAUAGGAGCGUCCACCGCAUGGUGGGUGUUGGAAAGAUUUAUCGGUUUUGGAUGGACUCGCGGCCUAUCAGCUUGUUGGUGAGGUAAUGGCUCACCAAGGCGACGACGGGUAGCCGGCCUGAGAGGGUGACCGGCCACACUGGGACUGAGACACGGCCCAGACUCCUACGGGAGGCAGCAGUGGGGAAUAUUGCACAAUGGGCGCAAGCCUGAUGCAGCGACGCCGCGUGAGGGAUGACGGCCUUCGGGUUGUAAACCUCUUUCAGUAGGGAAGAAGCGAAAGUGACGGUACCUGCAGAAGAAGCACCGGCUAACUACGUGCCAGCAGCCGCGGUAAUACGUAGGGUGCGAGCGUUAUCCGGAAUUAUUGGGCGUAAAGAGCUCGUAGGCGGUUUGUCGCGUCUGUCGUGAAAGUCCGGGGCUUAACCCCGGAUCUGCGGUGGGUACGGGCAGACUAGAGUGCAGUAGGGGAGACUGGAAUUCCUGGUGUAGCGGUGGAAUGCGCAGAUAUCAGGAGGAACACCGAUGGCGAAGGCAGGUCUCUGGGCUGUAACUGACGCUGAGGAGCGAAAGCAUGGGGAGCGAACAGGAUUAGAUACCCUGGUAGUCCAUGCCGUAAACGUUGGGCACUAGGUGUGGGGACCAUUCCACGGUUUCCGCGCCGCAGCUAACGCAUUAAGUGCCCCGCCUGGGGAGUACGGCCGCAAGGCUAAAACUCAAAGGAAUUGACGGGGGCCCGCACAAGCGGCGGAGCAUGCGGAUUAAUUCGAUGCAACGCGAAGAACCUUACCAAGGCUUGACAUGUUCUCGAUCGCCGUAGAGAUACGGUUUCCCCUUUGGGGCGGGUUCACAGGUGGUGCAUGGUUGUCGUCAGCUCGUGUCGUGAGAUGUUGGGUUAAGUCCCGCAACGAGCGCAACCCUCGUUCCAUGUUGCCAGCACGUCGUGGUGGGGACUCAUGGGAGACUGCCGGGGUCAACUCGGAGGAAGGUGAGGACGACGUCAAAUCAUCAUGCCCCUUAUGUCUUGGGCUUCACGCAUGCUACAAUGGCCGGUACAAUGGGUUGCGAUACUGUGAGGUGGAGCUAAUCCCAAAAAGCCGGUCUCAGUUCGGAUUGGGGUCUGCAACUCGACCCCAUGAAGUCGGAGUCGCUAGUAUCG
rnacentral:rRNA from 1 species